ensembl:lncRNA
CCAGCGUGGAGUCGCCGAUUUUUUUUUCCUGAGGGACCGGCGGGCUCCGGGAAUAGCCGAGCUGGACGCCGGGGCGAGCAUGGGGAGGGGCGCACCGAGGGAGGAGACAAACUUGACUCUGGGGCCGGGAUCCCGAGGCGGGGGCCGCAGUCCGCGAGGCCCGAAGCCACCGCUUCCUCCCCCCACCCCCCAUUCAGGUGGGCGCCAACUGCCGGAGCGAGGGUGUCCAGGCCGCCGGGGCCGCCAGGUCCGAGCACCCACAGGAAGAACUCUGCCCGGUAGUUCGCUGGGCGCUGUGAUCCCCGGGAUCCUGGGGACCGAGGCGGCUGGGCCCUGGGGCCCCUUGAGUGUGGCACGCUAACGCUUUCACCGCGGCGGGGGAAGGAGCUUGCUACCGAGACCCCCGGCCACGUGCGUCCCUCGCAUUCUUUACCGCGGCCGGGGUGGGGGCUGCGGACUGUCAGCUGGGGCCAGAUGGGGUCUUGGGGGCCCUCAAGUGUCUCCUGCCCCUGCCUGCGCCGCCUUUCGCCACUGGCUCUGAGGCCUGACGCAGUCUGGGUCCUGGCUAGAGGCGCGCUUGCCUCCAGGUGAGGGAAGACCCCCUUCACCUGUAGGAGGACCUGUGGCCUUCUUGAAGACCUGGCAAGGCGCCACGACCCGCCCAGGAGCCCCUGAGGGGGCGCAGCUAAAAACACCGCUGGAGAGCCCUGAGCUUCCACGACGAUCGCAGUAAAGAAGCGGUUUCUUCUGGGCAAUGCACACUGCGCUUUAAUCAAGUUCCUAUUCAACAUAGUCCCAGUGAUUAAUAGCCCAACUGCUUCGUUUUCGGUCCAGAGCUCAUAAACAAGAUAUUUUUAGCUUGACGCUUUUGGACGGGAGGGAGUAAAAACCAGAUACGUUAAAUAAAUAACCCGAUGUGAGCCGAAGAGCUGCUUGUUGAGCCAAAUGCAGGACCCAUUCAUAUACCAUCCACCUGUGGAGGGAGACCUGGACGGAAAUCAAAAAACACCCAGAGCGAUUUGCAUGUUUCUCUGCAGUGCUAAAACUAAUGGCUUUUCCUAGCUAGGAACAAGGAAACGCCUCUAUACAUGCACGGUUCCCGGCCUGUGGAGUUGUGGGAGGAAGGCGAUGUCUGGCCUUUUUUGCACAGCUGCUGUUGCCUGCCCGGAGAUCGGGAACUCUGCUGGGUAGGACUGGAAGAAACCUCAGUAAUGGGAAUAAGACUUCGUCCAAUAGCGGGCUGAUGAAUGUGUGGGGGCGACAGUGGCAAGGAGUGGGGCUCCCGGCCUGGGGGUCUCCAACCCUAGGGGCCACAGGUCCUCCUACAAUUGAACCAGAAUUCACCCACCCGAGCCUGCCCUGUGCAGGGUGCCAAGAGCCCAGUGAUGCGUGAGAAGGUGGCUUGUGCCUCUGGGAACUGGGACAGUGGGAGAGACUCAUAAGUUGUCACACAGAGGCUGCUGGGAGGAAGGAGUAGGGGAUGGGACUUCAUUCAUUCAUCAAAUGCACAGGAGGCACAAAUGGGAAUCAAGGGUGGAUGUGCUAUGAUGAAGAGACUUCCGGCCCUGAACAAGGUGGCGCUGUGGAGGAGGCAGAGAUCAGAUUUGUCUGGGGAGGUGUUAUGGACUGAACUGUGUCCCUGCCCUAAAUUCCUAUGUUGAAGGCCUAACCCCCUCCAUGUGACUGUAUUUGGAGAUAAGGCUUUUAGGAAGUCAUUAAAGUGAGAUGAUG